rnacentral:tRNA from 3 species
UAGCCAAGUGGAUCAAGGCAG